GUCUCUGUAGUGUAGUGGUUAUCACGUCCGCCUAACACGCGGGAGGGCACGAGUUCGAUCCUCGUCAGAAACA
rfam:Enterocytozoon hepatopenaei strain TH1 scaffold_00057, whole genome shotgun sequence.